ensembl:lncRNA
CACAGGUUUACGUGUUCAGCAGGUGGCUGGCUCGCUCAGCCUGGGUCCCAAGCUUUGCAACACUUUGCAACUGGCUGAAAUAUCAACCCAUAAAUCAGCCUUCUAACUUAGUGAGCAUCCUGGAACUGUUCUACAAGGUUGCUGAUACUCAAGGCAAAACUGUUAUGCAAGACAAAAUGCUGGGGACUCCUACCUACAGGAGCUUACGGACAGCAAGCAGCUCGGCAGGCCACUGCUCCACACCCCUCCCAGCCCCAAUUCCCUCAUGGAUCACCCAGAAGAAAACACUUGUAUCUGCUCACCUGGAGAGAGGAGGUCAGCACAUCAUGGGGUGUCACUGCAAAACCAGCCGGGGGAUUCCUGGCUUAAAUUCACAGAAGCUCUGUCUUGCUUUUCGUUUUGCUGGUAUCUGUAAAGUUAUUAAUGAUCAAUAGUCAAACCAGAGUAGGUAAACACAUGAAGACAUCUCAUGCCAUUGAUCUUUAGGCAGGACACCCCUCUGAAAUCAAUGGAGAGCUUUGCUUCAAAACCAACGGCCCAAUAAGGACCACAUUUCUUAAACAGAAGGGAGCCACAAAUCCAAUAUGAGUUAUCUACCAGCUCUGUCACCCAAACUUUGUUCCUAUCUUCUCAAUUCCCUUCUCCUGCACUACAACCCAAGCAGUUGCCAUUGACUUCUCAUCAAAAGUUAAGUCCUAUUUUCUAUUGCUGCUCCUUAAAGAGAAUGAGGCAAUUGUUUUUAUCUGGCGUUCAGAAAUACAAACUCAAGGUUCAGGUUGUUCUGCCUUUUGGCUUAGGGCUGAUCUGUUGGACAGUCAGCCAGCAUGAGUGGCAGAUCAAUUCAUUCCAUUUUGGAAACUUUUUCCUCUUGAAUUUUAAAGGCUUUAGUUUGGUAAUGGUUGUAUUAAGCCAGUAUUUGUAAUUGAAAUAAGAAACUGAAAUACAAAAUGCAUCAACCGGCUCAACUACGUUUAACUCUCAAUGCCAACACUUUAAACUGCAAAGGCUAUCCCGACUCAUAAAGCCCCCUCAGCUACCCAGCAGCUUAGGGAUCAGGUGCAGAUUUCACUCUGGAGCUCAUCCAAAGCCUCUGGAAGUCAGUUGGUAGCUUUUCUUGACCUGGCAGAUGCCAGAGAGCUGCUCCAAGGCUCUUCCCUGGGUUACCUUCAGCACACAGCACUGCCUUUCCCUGGCUGCUUUCCUUCUUCUGCCGCCUGUGAUGACAGCUUUCUUCAUGUCUGCAUUACCAUUCGCGUUUUUGGCUUCAUUCACAGCACCCUAAUCCCUUCUUACUAUUAUUUUUUUUUUCAAACUUCCCGAUUAGCCACAAAGUUGGAGCCCCAUUUCUCACUGCAGCAUCAUCUCUGCUGCUGAGGCUGCCAGCUCCUGCAACCCAUUGCAAACACCUUGCUGAUAUUCAGCUUUGCAACAGAUGCUUGUAAUGGUGGGAGCAGACCUCUGAGUGCAACACCAACAGUUAGACUUACACAAUUUCAGAAGAGGUGGCAUUCAUCCUCCUAGUGGAUGCUUGCACUGUGCAGGGAAGAGACAGGUAAAUCAACAUUAGCACCAGCACUGAGCUCAGCCACCAGCUACAGAAAUAUUUUGGCAUGUAAAAGUAGAAAGAAGGAAGGGAAUUAAGAACGUUCAUCUCCUUAGCUGUUAUCCAGCUUUGUCAGGUUGGAGGCUGAGCCUCAGGUGAGUUCAUUCUCCACCUGAACUCCUCAUCAUGCUCACGGGCUGCACCUGGAGGCAGAGACAGAAAGGGGGGAAGGAACUGACCUGGAGCCUUGUCCUGCUGGAGCCCCUCCACCACAUCUCCAUAGCCGUGUCUCCAUGCCAGCUGGGUUCAGUUGGCUCAGGUGUGCUCGCUCAUGUUAGACCUGUAUUUCCUUUCCUGGGAAUGAAUUCUGUGACAGCUGCUUUUGGGAUCCAUCUAAGCUCAGUGCUGAAGGCAAUCUGCUCCAUCCCUUCCUCUCCUGGAGAAGCAGAGAGCAGCUUUCAUCUCCAAAAUACAGAAAGCACUGGAGCAGCUCCCUCCCCUGUGCUCCCUCCUUCCUCUGAGUGGAGCUGGUAGCCUUAAGGGAAAGAAAAACCAGGAAACCACAGGCUGGAGUCUCAGGUGCGGCCAAAGGAAGGUGGUGGAAACGUUCCAGCCAGGAAAUAAAUCCAGCCAAGCCAUAAAAUGCUGCACUCAGACACUUUUCCUGACACUACUGUGGGCUUCUGCACUUUAUCCAUGCUGCCAGCCUUGCCACAUAUAAAAUUGAGGCAAGUGACCACCGGCAUAAAAGUGAGUUAUGCUUUGCUGCGGUGCAGCUUAGGUGUCAAGCACUCCAGCACCACAAGGAGAAACAGGGCCUGUCCUGACUGAAUUGAUUUCAACCAGUAAACUGCUGUCCUUAUAUCCACAGCCACUACGUGGGGAAAGGAGCCCAAGGGACCUCCUGCAGAGACAGCCCUGGACAGCUCUGCCCCAACAGCAGAGCCAUGCCCAGAACUGGUGGCUUUGCUGCGUCUCAGAUUUCUGCUGCAGCAGAGAUGAGAACCCGGCUGGAGCACAGCGAUGACCUUACAGAAGCCAAAUCAAGCACCGUUUCUCAGCUAUGUUUCACCAGCAGACCUUUCCAAAUAACUGAUACAUCUUCGACCACUUCUUGUAUACACCUGGAGCUGCUCGGAAAUAAGCUCUCGCUGCUUUUUGCUACAGACACAUCAUCACUUCAGAACAUCAAAAUAAAGCACCCAAAGCUUCAGAAACACUUAUUGCAAAUAAUCUCAGGCAGCUUCACUGCCAGAAGAAAGGCGGCGUGAUGUUUAUCAGAAAACUGAGUUGAUAUGGAGGACCUUUAGCAUCUCCAGAUGAAAGCAAUCACUGCACAAACGCAGCGAGCCCUCAGAGGAAGGUAUUUGCCUUCCCCAAAGCUCAGCCCUGGCUCGGCGUGCCCCAGCAAUGCAAACCUGAGAGCAGCCCAUUCACCAGCUCUACAAUGAGUUCUUUUUCUGUUGAGGUUUUCCAUUUUUGCCUCAUUGCAGGAAGGAAUUUGGGAUUGCUCAGUGAAAGAGCCAUGCCUGCUCCAUCGGGUCCUGCGGAGACUUAGCGAGAAAGAGAGGAGCUUCUUAUAACCAGAGGAAUUUAGGAAGCGAAGGCUGGUUUUGGCAAUGCUGAGGCUGCUGCUCUGCCGUGGGCUCCAGGAAGCAGCACAUCCCAUGUGUUGGUAUGAAGCUUCAAAAAUAAGCAGCCCUCACAGGUGGAUGAAACCCAGACAUCCUCCCACAGCCAUCACGAGAAUAACACCGCCUUUUCCCCAGAACCAGAUGUUCCCCAUGCAGAAAGGUGUCAGAUUUUGUAACAGCUCUGUCGGGCUUUACAGACCUAUCACAGCCUUUGGUCAGAGGAAAAGCAGAGCAAACAGGGGAUAUAAGGUAAGAAACCGGAGGAAAAAUGUAAAAGUGUCACUCUCCACCCUCAGCUGCAGAAAUGAGUUUGGAUGAGCAGCGAUGGCUGCACCACCCCUGGCUGCAAACAGGACCGGUAUCAGGGAAUGGUGUUCCACAUCAGCUAUCGGGUAAUGGCUUUGAAACCUUAAACAGGGAAUACAUUUCCAGCUAUUAGCACGCUGUGGUCAUGGUCUGCAUUUGAAGGUGAAAGCAGUUUGUAAGGAGGGAAAGAAAACAUUAAUUCUAUUCAUCUUGAAAGUUACUUUAACUUUUCAAAAUGCUAUGGUAAAUUUUCAAACUUUAAAAUUAGUUUCAAGAUGAAUAGAAUUAAUGAGUGAAUUAGAGCUGGUACUGAAUUGCAAUAAAUAAUAUUCAAAACCUUUUAAUAAGCUUUGAAAUGAUGAAAAUGAAUGGAUUUUUUUUUCUUCUGUUAUAAAACCGGAGCUCUUUUAAGUAUAAAUUGUGAUAACGACUCCAGAAUUUCCAGCGCCAGGUUUUUCCAUUACAUCUCAGCUUCUGCAGGUUGAUCUAAGGCUUAAAGAAUAACAUUCAGCCUCGCUUUGCCAUGACGAGGUGUGGGACACCGAAAGCAGUUCUCGCAGAGGAGGCAGCUGAGGCCCAUGGACACAGAAAGACAUUUUUGCACUGAGUCCCCUCGUGCAGCCUCCGUCUGAGGGCGGUGAGCUGUGAGCUAUUUUCUAGGAUGGGUUCCAUCACUGCUGGAGUGGCUGCAGCUGUCCUGAGUGGCUCCCCAAAGCCUUGCUUUAAGUUCUGCCCGAGCAAUCUGUAAGUUUGUUAUUCCUGCUGUUGGAAAAAGAAAAAAACCAACUUGACAUCAAGAAAGCUCUGUAGCAAAACGUCUUCUGUUUGUUCAGCCCUUCUCUGCGUGCCCUGGGGAGAGGCUUUGCUCCUUGGUGUUUCCAGCCCACUUCAGCUGCACUCAGCCCCUGCCAUGGCCAGCCCAGGGGCACCUCGGAGAUCGUCCAUCCUCCUGUCCCUCUGUGUCCUUCAGUCCUGCUUCUCCUGGCAGCUCCAUACCCCCACCACGCCGCAGUUUCAGCCCGUCUCUGCCCUGCUCCCUGUGCCAGCACAGCUUGGUGCGAUGAAGCAGCUCUGUAAUGAGCUUCUCAGGAUGCUGAGAUCCAUCUCCAAGAUCCAUCAUAUCUCCACAGCUUUUUUCCCCCUCCUGCAAGCAGCCACAUGCUCCAGCCCAGGUCACCACUUUCUGCUUGGUCCAUCAUUUCUCCAAUAGAACAAAACACCACCUCACCCUUUGGUAUCUCAGCUCUGCUUCCUCCAGCCCAGAUCCGUGGACACAGUCUGAGCAGCACUUUCUUUCUCCUUCAGCUUUCCAGGAGAGCCCACAACCCGCUCAGUUCUGCAUAGAAACACCUCACCAAACAAACUGCAGCCAGGGAAGGGCCGAGCAGACCUCCAUGUGCAUUUAUUUCUCCAGCCUGGACAGCUCGUAAUCGCAGACAAACUGUUUGUCCUUGACUCCUGUCUCAGCAAAGGAAGACUGAACUUCCCGCAACGCGAUCCGUAUCAGAUCGGAUUUGAUAUAUUUCAUAACAGCCUUUUAUUCUCCUGUCUUUGUUCAUUUAUUCUUCAAUCUGACACUUUGCUAGAUGUGCCGCUGUCUUUCCUUUUAUUCACCUGUCAUUAUCUCCCGCUCACACGUUGUAAUGCUCACCUUCCUUAUGUGUAUUAAAAACAAAGGGCUCUUGCCCUGUGCCGUUUCACUGUGGAUUUUCUCUGUUUCACUGAAAUAACAACAGAGUAUUGUGUUUGCCAAUCCCCCGGGCUGUCAGAGAUACGAAUGGUGGCUGUGGGCAGCCCCUGCCUGCCCCAGAGCAUCAGAGCUCUGCGCAGCCACCAAGUGAUGCUCCGUGGGCUUUGGAAAAGCUCUAUGCGGAGGGGUAGAGCUGCAGAGCAUCACGAGCCUCCAGGUGCCACACAUAGAUGUCUACCAGCUCCCCAGCACUAAAUUCACUGUGUUAGCCCAUGGUAAAGGCAGCCAUAGGGGGUGCAGGUGGGUUCCCCCUAUACACCAGCAGGGCCAGACCUGCUGCCCCUCCUGCACAGGGAAAGGGAUUUGGAAUAUGCAGCCCAGCAGAGCGCUCCCAGCUUUGCCUCCAAGCAGGCAGAUUUACACCACCCUGCCUUUUUACUACCGCCGCAGAAACAACUAAAAAUAUUUAACUUGUUUGUUAAAAUAUUUAACGUGAUUUUGACAGUUCACCAGCUGUUUAAAAGUAGCUAAAAAGGAUGGCAUAGGCUGUUGCCGAGUUUAAUAAAUAUGUGUGCGUGUGAUGUUUGUUAUCUGAGAAGUACAUUUAGAUGUCUGCUUAGGUUAGCAUCACAUAUGCUAGAACACAUGUUCCUAUUCUGGUACACAUCUAUAAUUGUGCCCAUUUAUCUUAUUGUAGUUUAAAGUACUACCAGGAUAAAUAAAGACACUGUCUAUUUUGCUCUGAGAAAGAGAGAGACUGGGCUGUGUCAGCCGGUGAGAAAAUAAAGAAGGCUGGAGAUAAAAACUUUCUGGGGUGGGGAAAAUUAUUUACUUUUUAAAAGAAUGCCAUCAAAGACAUCUUUGCUGCAUAGAGAUUUUGUUAGAGUGAAGCAAUUCAGAGCUUCCACCACAUGGAUGGAGGGAAGAGAAGAGCGGCAGGAGCAGGGAGGCAUUCUGCCCGUGUCCUUUGUACUAUCUUCUCUAGGCAUUAAUUUUUGGUAUCUACUUAAACCAAAUGCUGCUGCAGGUGUCUGUCUCCUUAGAGAUGUGUCCCCCUGGUCCUCCAUCACCGUGCACCAGGGCAAGGAACGCUGCAGGAGCAGGGGAGUUAGGGCGGUUGGGAAUCCAGCACUGCAGCCAGGGGUUGUGAGAGCAAUGGUAAAUUAAAAAGGCUUUAGGAAAACUCUAAUUGCAGGGAUCUGUGUUGAGAGGCAGAGCGAGAAUCUCAGCCUGCUUUGAUGUUCAGGCCACAGAAGUCCCUGCGUCACAGAGGGGAGAGGCACUUUGCAGCUUGGAAUAAAGUGAUGCUCUGGGCAUGCAGUGAGCACCAGGAAUGGGAGGUGGGCAUGGAGCAACGUCAGCACUGAGGCAGGCACUGAAACCACCAUCACAACACCUGCUACAUGUGUGCAGUAGAAGCCAAAGGAGCUUGAUUCCAUUUGUGAUCCUAUUUGGAGUUUGAUUGUGUUUGCAGCCAUGGCUGCUCACAGAGCAGCCCAGCAGCAUGGGUUUUCCCAAGGGUGACCUUUCCUGCCCCUUGUUCCUGCAGAUGAGGUCCACGAAGGGAACUCUGGGGAGAUGAAUGAGGUGAUGAGUUCCCCUGGUUCUGCUGUGCCUGUGUGAAAUCAAGCAGAAAUGAGAACGAAGGGCGUUAGGGUCUGGCAACACAAGACGCCUUGUACUGAAGCAUCUCCUCUAAACCAAACCUUAGGAAGCUGCGUAAGUCUCAGCAGUGAGAAUGAUGCUGAGCAGCAUUAGUGGGACGUGCUUAAGGCAUUUUCAUGCCAGAACAGAUGAAGAAUGAAACAUUCAGGUUAUUUUCACUGCACACACAGUCAGCAUCGUGCAAGGCAGGAGCUGUCCUGGAGCACACCUUGUGCUCAAAGAAUGCUGAAGCUACUUUUUGUGCUCCUGAUGGAGCUUCACGCAGCCUGAGUUAUGCACAACUCCAGUAACACUGGGAAAAGCAAUCCCAGCCUGGAUUUUGAAUUCUUAGGUGCAGCAAGAGCUGGAAGCCUAAGGAACGCUACUAAACACCCAUGGGGUACAACUCAUCCCAGUGCACCAGGACUGCUGGAGGGCUUGCAAAUGGCAGGAGAGACAAUGAGGGCUCUAUCCUGCAAAAUGAAGAGCAGUGCCAAGAGCACUGUGAUCCAUGCACCAUUCCAGGACAAUGCACAUGAGAAGAUCGAGCCCUGGGCCACCAGCAGAGGUGGGGAUGAGGAUGGGGAUGCCGAUGGGGAUGGGGACGGAGAUAGAGAGAGGGAUGGGGAUGGAGAUGGAGAUGAUGGAGAUGGAGAUGGAGAUGGAGAUGGGGAUGGGGAUGGGGAUGGAGAAGAGGAGGGAGAAUAGAUAUAGAAGGGAUAUCAAUGGUGACGGCUGCUAGAGGCUCAUCUCCUUCCAACAAACAAUGCCAAUCUGAAGAAGAGAGGUGGGCAUACCGACCAUGUGGGUUUUAGGCAAACAGGAAGGCUUCCGGUGCACGCAGCUGUCCCCAAGGCUUGGUGAUGUUGCAGCCGGGCUGGAUUCACAGCACCGGCACCAGCUGGGGAUGGCACGUGUGACUCAAACACCCGGGAGGACAGGGGGAGGUGGGGAGAAGGGGGGAAUUGUGCCGUGUCCUGCUCUCAUGCCAAAAAUACAUGGAAAGAAACUGUAAACCCCCUGUUUUCAGAACAUAAAAAGGUUGUGAAAAUAGGACUCCAAGGGCUCUGCAAACGAUUAUGCUAAUGAGAUCCAGGGCUGUUCAAUAGCACUGAAGUGAUGCUCAGGAAUUUUGAACCACAGUUUUUAGUGUGAUUACGGAUCAUAUUAAAAUUCUAUUAGCCUUUGCUGAAGAUGUGAAUGAGUGCGACGGAAUUACGGGUCCACACUCCCACGAACCCAAACACUCACCAUGAGGUACGAUUUUCAGAAUGAAAAUACCCCAAUUUUCAGACAGAGGAAGGAGAAUGUGUCUGUAACAAUGCAGAAUGGAACUCCAGUCAGUGGAAUGUUCAGAGAUUGCCCGUUUUUCCACACGGGCCCAAGUUUUGAGUGGUGCCAUGAAACAAUAUUUGCAAUUGUUUUAGCCUUCCCGCAUGGUAUAAUUGAGACAAGCAGAAGAGAAAACUUUGUAGCAAAAUCUCUUUUUGUUUCUGCCUUGCAAAUGAUGAAUUGUUAAUGAGCACCUGUUACAAUGUUAAUGAAAGUAAGAUCUGUGUGUAAAUAAAGAAAAUUUAAUAACUUAACAAGGUGGAUUAAAAUUCCCAACCUGCUCCUUGCUAAUCUAAUGCCAAACACCAAAUAGUUGCUAUCUAAGCAGGAAACUGGUUAAUGUAUUCACCUCCGUGUACUUUUCAAACUAUAAUUAAUAUUUUAAAAAUUUAUAAAACCGAAAUCAUAGGUUUGAUUGUAACAAACAAAAUAUCUGCCUUUAAUCUACUACGAAAGGUUGGCACAAAUCCCCUUAAAUGAUACUAAAAUGUAAACCACACGGCAGCACUGAGGAAUUGAUGAUGUUUAACUUCUUUUGCACUUGUCCUAAUCACAUUCUUUAUAAUUGUAUUUAAAAUGACUCCAAAACAGUUGAUUGGUAAUUCUGUAGCAGAGAAGAAAUAUGGAAUGAGAACACUGUUUCCUUGGGGGAAAAAAAAACGCUGUUAUAAAUAACUUUGAAGGUAUGUCCUCUGGACAUCGGGUGAAUAUUAACACUUGACAAAUGGACUUUUGUUGGUUUAAACUAAAGUGAAAGUUACUGAAAAGAAAGAAGGAAUGCUCUUAUUUCCUAGAGAAGAAACUCGCUUUCAUGUGGUUUCUCCCUUCUCAAAGCCCCAGGUGGGGCUCUAUGGCAAUGGCCUCUCUGCCACCCCUCCUCACUCACAUCCCACAGAGCCCCGUGACUGCUGCAGGCAGACCUCGCAGUUCUGCAAUGGUUGGGUGCGGGCAGGAGGGUGAGCACUGCUGGGGACCCCCAGCCUUGGAUCCCUACACCCAGUGUCAGGGUCCUACACCCAGUGUUGGGUUCCUAUACCCAGUGUUAGGGCCCUACACCCAGCCUCCUGUCCAGGCAGUGCCAGCUAACUCCAGAUGUAGACCAGCUUUCU